rnacentral:tRNA from 1 species
GCCUGGAUAGCUCAGUUGAUAGAGCGUCGCUCUAAUAACGCGAAUGUCAUGGGGUUGAUUCCGAUUCUGGCA